AAAAUGAAAUGUUAAAGUCAGCAUAUUAGUAGCAUAUAUCCAAUGUUUUAAUGACCUAUUUGUUCUUGUAAUAUCAAAUCAUUGCUACGGCAACUAUGUUUACUGUUUGAAUGUGAAUUUCUUACUAAAAUACUUUGUCAUAUUUAUACGGACCAUAUAAAUCAUAUCAUGUUUUUAUGUUUUUCAGAUGGCAGCUCAUCCUGUGUGUUUCAUAAUCAUCCUGCAAGACUCGCUCUGGGUGGGACAGCAGACAGGACCACAUGACGUGGGGAGGAGAGCAGGAAAUAAGGACUUUAUGUUGACCGAGGUGGAGAUUGGGUUAACAAAACAGACUCGAGGAAAAAAAAAUCAAUCGUAGAUGAGGGGAGAGGUAUGCUUGAAACCAAAAACACAUUGGGUUAUGGAGGAGCUGCAACUGAGGACUGGAGAGCCUGAGUUUGUUCACACUGUGAGAGAAAAGGAAGCUCUUAAGAUUUGGGAACAAGUGACAGGGUGACAUACACAGCGGCAGCCAGCAGGACUGUGAACAGCAGGGCAGCCAUGACAGUUCCCACAAUCCAAAGGGAAGCUCCAUGGGAGGGCUCUGUGAAGUUGACUGUGGUGGUCGCUUGAAAGCUGCCGCUGGGGAAGGUGGUGUACUGACAGACGUAGUUUCCGGUGUCAUUCAUUAUCACGUCUG